rnacentral:SRP_RNA from 1 species
UGGCAGGUCUCAUACGGCCAGCUCCUACUGAACUCCCCCAGGGUCGGAAGACAGCAAGGGUAGGUGGUUGUAGCGGCGCGAUAUGAUAAGCCUGCCAUUU